rnacentral:misc_RNA from 1 species
AAGUCGUAACAAGGUUUCCGUAGGUGAACCUGCGGAAGGAUCAUUACGUACUGUAGGCCGGUCUGACCGGUUCUAUUCUACCCUGUUUUUUGCGCACUCUCUGUUUCCUCGGUAGGCUUUGCUUGCCGAUAGGACAAAAUUUUUAAUUCUCUGUUAAUAAGUAGUACUCAGCGUCAAAACAAAUAUGAAAUUUGUAACAACUUUCAACAACGGAUCUCUUGGUUCUGGC